GAAAAAGCAGUGUGUCUUCUUAUUUGAGCUUCUGGACCUUUACCAGAAAGGGGCAAAAGAGAGAUCGAAGAUUUUUGAGCAAUAAAGAGACCCAGUCAUCCUCAACCUUGGGGGAAAUAACUCCGGCAGUGUUGUGUAAGGCGGAUUAAAGGGAAUUAAAUCACCGCAUCCUCCCAGGCAAGUGAUCAUCUGACCUCCUCUUGGAUGCACAUAGCGACAGAGAGCUCACCACCUCCAGCGACGGCCCACUGCUCUGUAAGGCAGCCACGCUGCUUGUGAACAAAUCUCAGGCAGAUGAUCUUGAGCUAGUGCCACUGCUCAAGCAAACAGUCAAGGCUCCAGGCUCCUUCCAGCUUCCUGCUCUGACACUCUAAACUUUAUGGCUUUUGUCUUCAUGGUUGCAUGCUGGCUGUCUGAUCACUAAGCAUCAAGUCUGCACUCCAGGCGGGAAGAAGGGUGAAGAAUAAAAGCAACGUGGCAUGUCUCUUUCUAUCAGAGAAACAAUAGCUUUUCUGGAAACUCCACGAGAUAUGCUUUUGCUUACAUCUAGUUGGGUGAAAAUGGUCACAUGGCUACAGAUGUAUGAGAAUCUGGGACGCGAGAAUUUCUAAUUAAGUACGUGGCCUUCCGAAACAGAAUCAGAGUUCUGUUAAUGCAAUCAUGAUGCUCAGAAAACAAUGCCCCCCAAAUAUGGCACUUUGACAUGCUGAACUACAGAAGCAACUACAAGGUCUCUCUGACGUUCCCCUGCCUCCCUGUAUUCUCUCUAGAAAUUCCUUACCUGACUGAGAAAUCUCCUUCCAAAAGCAAUGCAAGACCCCCUCCCUAGGAAUCUCAUCAAAUGACCAGGAAAGAUUCACCACUAGAGAAGAGAAAAGACUGGGAGUCCUCUCCAUGUCCAGACAGGCUCUUCCUCUGUUCUUCUGCGGGCACUUUGUCUCCUCUCAGGCCAUUGUUCUUUUGGCUCAUUCAUUUCCCCUAAAAAUCAUGUGCUCCUACAGCCCUCACCAAGGCUUCCCCUAGGUAAAAGGGUUUAUAAGCAAGCAUAUUCCAUUGUGACAUUGGGUCACCCUCCUCCUGCAGUUCCCCAACGCUGUG